rnacentral:misc_RNA from 1 species
GGUUGCCGGAGAGCGUGCCGGGGACGUGGAUGGGCUCGUCGCAGUCGCGGCAGAAGAGCGCGCGGUCCUCCACGCAGAAGAUGAACGCCGCCUUCUCCUGGCACACGUCGCAGCGCGGGAGCCUCGCCGAGAGCGCCUCCAGCGGCAGCCGCUGGUGCUUCCCGGCCAGCUUGUUCGCCGCGUGCACCUCCACGUCGCACGCCGCGCACAGCGCCGCCUCGUCCGCGCAGCACACCACCGUGGCCGCCGCGGCCUCGCACGCGUCGCACUGGAUCCUCAUGCCGAUGUACUCCCCUCAAAACCGCACACAAAGCUCAAUUUAC